rnacentral:rRNA from 1 species
UACGGAGGGUGCAAGCGUUAUCCGGAAUCAUUGGGUUUAAAGGGUCCGCAGGCGGGAAGAUAAGUCAGUGGUGAAAUCUCACAGCUCAACUGUGAAACUGCCAUUGAUACUGUCUUUCUUGAAUUCGAUCGAAGUGGGCGGAAUGUGACAUGUAGCGGUGAAAUGCAUAGAUAUGACAUAGAACACCAAUUGCGAAGGCAGCUGGCUACACAAAUAUUGACGCUGAGGCACGAAAGCGUGGGGAUCAAACAGG